rnacentral:rRNA from 1 species
AUGGGAUUAGUCGCCGCCGCCGUUCCAGUUUUCGACGCCCUCGCCCCCGUUCGCCUCUUGCCCUUCUCGCCCAUUAUUGCCCUGCUCUGCUCGGCUGCUCCUGCCGAGGACCCAGGCCUGCUUCAGUGCUUCUUCGCAUCUCCUGGCUCGGUGGCUCCUGCAGUCCUGCUCUCAGUCCUGCCUGCUCUUGAUUCUCGAUCAGGGAUCAGUCGAUCUGAUUCACAUAUUCAGGUAAAUGGCUGCUGCACUUGUCAGUUCUUCCUGCAGUCCCGCUUCAAUCCACAAACUAGCAAGUCGAUUCUCAUCCUGUAUCCGUGUCGAAUUGAUGCUCCAGAUUUUUUUUUGCUUUGGUAA